rnacentral:rRNA from 1 species
UACGGAGGAUGCGAGCGUUAUCCGGAUUUAUUGGGUUUAAAGGGUGCGUAGGCGGGAUGCCAAGUCAGCGGUAAAAAUGCGGUGCUCAACGCCGUCGAGCCGUUGAAACUGGCGUUCUUGAGUGGGCGCGAAGUAUGCGGAAUGCGUGGUGUAGCGGUGAAAUGCAUAGAUAUCACGCAGAACUCCGAUUGCGAAGGCAGCAUACCGGCGCCCUACUGACGCUGAGGCACGAAAGCGUAGGUAUCGAACAGG